rfam:Oceanimonas sp. GK1, complete genome.
GGAGGGGUUCCCGAGUGGCCAAAGGGAUCAGACUGUAAAUCUGACGGCUCAGCCUUCGCUGGUUCGAAUCCAGCUCCCUCCA